GACGAACGCUGGCGGCGUGCUUAGCACAUGCAAGUCGAACGGGAAGGCCCUGCUUUUGUGGGGUGCUCGAGUGGCGAACGGGUGAGUAACACGUGAGUAACCUGCCCUUGACUUUGGGAUAACUUCAGGAAACUGGGGCUAAUACCGGAUAGGAGCUCCUGCUGCAUGGUGGGGGUUGGAAAGUUUCGGCGGUUGGGGAUGGACUCGCGGCUUAUCAGCUUGUUGGUGGGGUAGUGGCUUACCAAGGCUUUGACGGGUAGCCGGCCUGAGAGGGUGACCGGCCACAUUGGGACUGAGAUACGGCCCAGACUCCUACGGGAGGCAGCAGUGGGGAAUAUUGCACAAUGGGCGGAAGCCUGAUGCAGCAACGCCGCGUGCGGGAUGACGGCCUUCGGGUUGUAAACCGCUUUCGCCUGUGACGAAGCGUGAGUGACGGUAAUGGGUAAAGAAGCACCGGCUAACUACGUG
rnacentral:rRNA from 1 species